CCUACGGGAGGCAGCAGUGAGGAAUAUUGGUCAAUGGACGGAAGUCUGAACCAGCCAUGCCGCGUGCAGGAAGACGGCUCUAUGAGUUGUAAACUGCUUUUGUACAAGGGUAAACCUAAAUACGUGUAUCUGUCUGAAAGUACUGUACGAAUAAGGAUCGGCUAACUCCGUGCCAGCAGCCGCGGUAAUACGGAGGAUUCAAGCGUUAUCCGGAUUUAUUGGGUUUAAAGGGUGCGUAGGCGGAUUGAUAAGUUAGAGGUGAAAUGUCCGGGCUUAACUUGGGAAUUGCCUCUGAUACUGUUGGUCUAGAGAGUAGAUGCGGUAGGCGGAAUGUAUGGUGUAGCGGUGAAAUGCUUAGAGAUCAUACAGAACACCGAUUGCGAAGGCAGCUUACCAAUCUAUAUCUGACGUUGAGGCACGAAAGCGUGGGGAGCAAACAGGAUUAGAUACCCUGGUAGUC
rnacentral:rRNA from 1 species